AUGAACGCUGGCGGCGUGCCUAAUACAUGCAAGUCGCGCGAACAGACGAGGAGCUUGCUCCUCUGACGUUAGCGGCGGACGGGUGAGUAACACGUGGAUAACCUACCUAUAAGACUGGGAUAACUUCGGGAAACCGGAGCUAAUACCGGAUAAUAUAUUGAACCGCAUGGUUCAAUAGUGAAAGACGGUUUUGCUGUCACUUAUAGAUGGAUCCGCGCCGCAUUAGCUAGUUGGUAAGGUAACGGCUUACCAAGGCAACGAUGCGUAGCCGACCUGAGAGGGUGAUCGGCCACACUGGAACUGAGACACGGUCCAGACUCCUACGGGAGGCAGCAGUAGGGAAUCUUCCGCAAUGGGCGAAAGCUUGACGGAGCAACGCCGCGUGAGUGAUGAAGGUCUUCGGAUCGCAAAACUCUGUUAUUAGGGAAGAACAAAUGUGUAAGUAACUAUGCACGUCUUGACGGUACCUAAUCAGAAAGCCACGGCUAACUACGUG
rnacentral:rRNA from 1 species